GACGAACGCUGGCGGCGUGCUUAACACAUGCAAGUCGAACGGUGAAGCGAGUGCUUGCACUCGUGGAUCAGUGGCGAACGGGUGAGUAACACGUGAGUAACCUGCCCAUCACUCUGGGAUAAGCACUGGAAACGGUGUCUAAUACUGGAUACGACCAACCCUUGCAUGGGGUGUUGGUGGAAAGAUUUAUCGGUGAUGGAUGGACUCGCGGCCUAUCAGCUUGUUGGCGGGGUAAUGGCCCACCAAGGCGACGACGGGUAGCCGGCCUGAGAGGGUGACCGGCCACACUGGGACUGAGACACGGCCCAGACUCCUACGGGAGGCAGCAGUGGGGAAUAUUGCACAAUGGGCGAAAGCCUGAUGCAGCGACGCCGCGUGAGGGAUGACGGCCUUCGGGUUGUAAACCUCUUUCAGCAGGGAAGAGGCGAAAGUGACGGUACCUGCAGAAGAAGCACCGGCUAACUACGUG
rnacentral:rRNA from 1 species